rnacentral:misc_RNA from 1 species
GGAUGAAGAACGUAGCGAAAUGCGAUAAGUAAUGUGAAUUGCAGAAUUCAGUGAAUCAUCGAAUCUUUGAACGCACAUUGCGCCCCUUGGUAUUCCGGGGGGCAUGCCUGUUCGAGCGUCAUUUCAACCCUCAAGCUCAGCUUGGUAUUGAGUCCAUGUCAGUAAUGGCAGGCUCUAAAAUCAGUGGCGGCGCCGCUGGGUCCUGAACGUAGUAAUAUCUCUCGUUACAGGUUCUCGGUGUGCUUCUGCCAAAACCCAAAUUUUCUAUGGUUGACCUCGGAUCAGGUAGGGAUACCCGCUGAACUUAAGCAUAUCAAUAAGCGGAGGA